rnacentral:rRNA from 1 species
GACAGAGGUGCCGAGCGUUAGGCGGAAUCACUGGGCUUAAAGCGUGUGUAGGCGGAUCUGUAAGUACCUUGUGAAAUCCCACGGCUCAACCGUGGAACUGCUUGGUAUACUGCGGGUCUUGAGCCACCUAGGGGCAAGUGGAACAAACGGUGGAGCGGUGAAAUGCGUAGAUAUCGGAAGGAACACCUGUGGCGAAAGCGGCUCACUGGACCAUUACUGACACUGAGGCACGAAAGCUAGGGGAGCAAACAGG